UACGGAGGAUGCAAGCGUCAUUCGGAAUGAUUGGGCGUAAAGCGUCCGCAGGUGGCUGUGUAAGUCUGCUGUUAAAGAGUCUAGCUCAACUAGAUACAAGCAGUGGAAACUACACGGCUAGAGUACGUUCGGGGCAGAGGGAAUUCCUGGUGUAGCGGUGAAAUGCGUAGAGAUCAGGAAGAACACCGGUGGCGAAGGCGCUCUGCUAGGCCGUAACUGACACUGAGGGACGAAAGCUAGGGGAGCGAAUGGG
rnacentral:rRNA from 1 species